rnacentral:rRNA from 1 species
UUUGAAGUGUGGACGCCAGUCUGCAUGGAGCCGACCUUGAAAUACCACCCUUUAAUGUUUGAUGUUCUAACGUUGACCCGUAAUCCGGGUUGCGGACAGUGUCUGGUGGGUAGUUUGACUGGGGCGGUCUCCUCCUAAAGAGUAACGGAGGAGCACGAAGGUUGGCUAAUCCUGGUCGGACAUCAGGAGGUUAGUGCAAUGGCAUAAGCCAGCUUGACUGCGAGCGUGACGGCGCGAGCAGGUGCGAAAGCAGGUCAUAGUGAUCCGGUGGUUCUGAAUGGAAGGGCCAUCGCUCAACGGAUAAAAGGUACUCCGGGGAUAACAGGCUGAUACCGCCCAAGAGUUCAUAUCGACGGCGGUGUUUGGCACCUCGAUGUCGGCUCAUCACAUCCUGGGGCUGAAGUAGGUCCCAAGGGUAUGGCUGUUCGCCAUUUAAAGUGGUACGCGAGCUGGGUUUAGAACGUCGUGAGACAGUUCGGUCCCUAUCUGCCGUGGGCGCUGGAGAACUGAGGGGGGCUGCUCCUAGUACGAGAGGACCGGAGUGGACGCAUCACUGGUGUUCGGGUUGUCAUGCCAAUGGCACUGCCCGGUAGCUAAAUGCGGAAGAGAUAAGUGCUGAAAGCAUCUAAGCACGAAACUUGC